CCCCCCCCCCCACCCCCUUCGCGUCGUUUGUGUUCAGGACACUCAACUUCCUCCUUUCGUUUCGUUUGUGUUGGCUGUGGCAGGGCACUUCGUUCCCCUUCUCACAGCUCCAGCUUAUCCAUCUCGUUUCACAUAGCGUACAAGUAUUCCUGCGCAUACAGUCCUCAUGGUUGAAGCUGCUCUCCGUUCGUUGGCCAACUGUCAGCCAGCAGACUCCCAAUAAUCGGAGUUGUCGCAAUAACGCUCUUCUAAUGAUUAUGUUAGUUCGCGACAACCUGUAUUCCCUAAACCCGAGCUACCACACAGGACGACUCUGCCGUCCCCGGCGCCGGCUGAAGCAGAAGCCACCAUGCGUGAGGAUCAGACACAGAGUCACAGCGAGUGCGGCCAGAUACAGUUACAACGACUCUCACCAUGUCAACUACUCGCUAGAUCCUCUACUAAUCUCCAAGAUAACUCACUUUCAAGUCAAACAUGUCAACAAGCAUGAAGAGCAACUCAACAGCAAUGUCAUCAACUGACGGUUAUGGUAGCAUGUCUGGAGCUAUUUUCCAGUGUAGUCCCAGUCCUUGACAGCAUGCUAGCAUGGUGCCAUACCUCUGUGUAGUCCCAGUCCUUGACAGCAUGCUAGCAUGGUGCCAUACCUCUUAGAUUCAGCGCAUUGCAGCAGUGUCACCAGCCACUUUGCUGGCUCUGGGAUCCUGUCUGCCACACCGAGGAGGGUGCUUUCAAUGUUGCCAUGAUCAUGGGUGAUCAACCACAGUGCGUGAUCUCUGGCAGGUUGUGACGUUCAGACAUUUUAGUAGCACUGCAGUCUGGGUGUCUGGGUAACUAUCAGCACAACAAUACAGCAUGCCACUAAAACCGGAGUACUCUUGGAACAGAAGAACAAAUGUUGCCGUGCUGUGCUUCAAGUGACUGGAUAACACACUACAUUGGAAUGGAGGAUGAAGCAACACGUAGUCACACGUAUUCCACGUCAUUUGGGUUAUAUUGAACCGACAAUCAUCAUUGGGUGGCAUGUCUGAUACUAGUCAAUUAUCUUUUUCCCCAAGUAACUCCAUGCACCGAGUGAGUAGCAACUACUUUUGAUGCAGUUCCGGUGAAGUCCAUAUAAGGAGCCGUCCAUAAUCAAUCUUUCACACAAAACGAAAAACGGGUGGGUAGGUGAAGGAGAAUUUCGUUACGAAAAAUAUUGAUAAGAAUUGUGAGUUGAGCUCCCAUGUCGGGAGCAACAUACAAAUGCCCAAGUAUCGCCGAAGUUGCACCAACCUCUUUCACAAAAAUGUUGAUAGCUGAAACAUCCACAAACAUCCAACAUCCAUUCUAGCCAUUCUAGCUGUCAAGUCAAUAUAUUUUUCGUCCAGGAGGGUGGGUGGGUCAUAGCUAAACUUUCGUUUCGUGAAAAUAGUCGAUAAUUCCGGAUGGUCUCUAAGGCAUAAACGUUUUCUUAUGUUCACAAUACAAUAAUAUUGAAGAGUUGCUUUUCACUGUUGAAAUAAUGCAGAUGUCUUAACUUUAUGGAGGAAGAUAGGGAGUAUUUUAUGGAUUAUUUUGCAUUCGAAUUUAUGUCACUUUUUGUUCCCGUGAGUCCUGAUCUGUGUAAUAAGGCUAAUAUCAUUGUAGUGCAUAGGAUGCAUAGGAUGUGUCAUUUUACAUUUGAACAGUUCUCCUAAUUUGCAAGAGAUUCAAUCCCUUUUCUUCCUAUACUGUAAGACAUGUAUAUAUAACGAGGAAGCAAAUCUAACGUUUUAACGGAUGACAUUUCUUCGUUAUAAUAAGAUCCGUUGAGACCGUACUGCUUCAUAUAUGCUGUGUGUGGAUAUGGCAGAAUACUGCAAGGUACAUAUCUUCUCGUUAACCUAUGAAUUUUGGACAAUCGUUAAAUUUGCGACUUUGCGAAUAAGUUUACAGUUUUGACUUUCAUCCCGCUGCGAAAUUAAAAUGUAAAUUCAUUUUG